rnacentral:rRNA from 1 species
UACGUAGGUGGCAAGCGUUGUCCGGAUUUACUGGGCGUAAAGAGCGCGCAGGCGGUCGUUCAAGUCGCGUGUGAAAGCCCCCGGCUUAACUGGGGAGGGUCAUUCGAUACUGUUUAACUUGAAGGCAGGAGAGGGUAGUGGAAUUCCCGGUGUAGUGGUGAAAUGCGUAGAUAUCGGGAGGAACACCAGUGGCGAAGGCGACUACCUGGCCUGUUCUUGACGCUGAGGCGCGAAAGCUGGGGAGCAAACGGG